UGCUGUAUCCACAGAACCUAGUACAGUGCCUGGCACAGGAGUAAGUGGUCAGUGACUAUUUCUUUAAUUAAUUCGGUGAGUAAGUACAUACUGUGACAUGUGAAGCACAUAAUACAGGGCGUGAUAAGCAGUAAACCCAUUGUAAUUGUUUUCUGCUGCUUUUAUUAUCUGCUUCAUGUAUUGUGGUUCUGCAUAUGAUUUUACUUGGAAAAUAAGGCUGCUACCAAAAUGUAAGUUUAAAGGGAAAUAUCCCAUUUGAAAAAUAAUCUCAGUUUCAGAUUUUUAGUUGUGAAAUGAGGGCAAAUUUUUAAAUGUUUAAUUCUUAAUACUCGGUGUGUAUAAGAUCUUUUGUCUGCAACUGCAAAACAAGCAAGCCAGAAGGGAGGACUAUUAGACUGUUCUUUUUAAUCUCUUAAGCCUUAACAAAGAGGAAGGGAGAACCGAAUUUGAAGAAACUAAAGCAUGAUUGAUCUCUCUCAUCAUUGAAAACAACAUAAACAGAAACACAGUGACUAGUGAGAAUGCUAACAUUCUGGAAUUUAUUUCCAUUUCUGCUCCAGGUGUUGCCACAUCUGCAAGCUUCCUGGGAAAGUAAUGGGGAUUCGAGUGCUUCGUUUCUCUUUGGUGGUCAUCCUUGUAUUACUACUGGUAGCUGGGGCUUUGACUGCUUUACUUCCCAAUAUCAAAGAAGACAAGAUGCUUACUCUGCGUAGGGAAAUAAAAUCCCAGGGCAAGUCCACCCUGGAUUCCUUUACUCUCAUAAUGCAAACAUACAAUAGAACGGAUCUCUUAUUGAGACUUUUAAAUCAUUAUCAGGCAGUACCACAUCUGCACAAAGUAAUUGUGGUUUGGAACAAUGUUGGGGAAAAAGGACCAGAUGAGUUAUGGAAUUCUCUAGGGCCUCACCCUGUCCCUGUGAUCUUCAAACUACAGACAGCAAACAGAAUGAGAAAUCGACUCCAGGCCUUCCCUGAAGUGGAAACCAAUGCGGUGUUCAUGGUAGACGAUGACACUAUCAUUAGUGCCCAGGACCUUGUUUUUGCUUUCUCAGUUUGGCAGCAAUUUCCUGAUCAAAUUGUGGGAUUUGUUCCUAGAAAGCAUGUCUCUACUUCAUCAGGUAUCUACAAUUAUGGAGGUUUUGAACUACAAAUACCAGGGUUUGGAAAUGGUGACCAGUACUCGAUGGUGCUGAUUGGAGCUUCAUUUUUCAGUAGCAAGUAUCUUCAACUCUUUCAGAGGCAACCCACAGCUGUCCAUGCUUUGAUAGAUGAAACUCAAAACUGUGAUGAUAUUGUCAUGAAUUUUCUCAUUGCCAAGCACAUUGGGAAGACUUCAGGGAUAUUUGUGAAACCUGUGAACAUGCGCAAUUUGGAAAAAGAAACCAAUGGUGGCUAUUCUGGAAUGUGGCAUCGAGCUGAGCACUUUCCUCAGAGGUCUUACUGUAUAAAUAAGCUUGUUAAUAUCUAUGAUAGCAUGCCCUUAAAAUACUCCAACAUUAUGAUUUCCCAGUUUGGUUUUCCUUAUGCCAACCACUUAAGUAAAAUGGGAAAGUAAAACAAACAAAAAGAAAUGGGAAAACUGCUUGGUAUUUGAAUACCUUCUUCAUGCUAUAUUGUUUUUUUGUUUGUUUGUUUGUUUUUAAGCAACGUUACAGACUUUCAUCUACCCUAGAAGUCUCUAUAAUAGAAGAAAUAUGCAGCUCUUCUAAGAUAUAAAAUUCAUGUCAACUUCAGAAAACAAAAUUCAUGUUAACUUCAAAAACCAAGAAGUUGAACUUAUUCAUAUAAACAGACCUUUUUGUGAAGAGUUUUCAUCCAGGGAUAUAAUUCCUCGGUCAGCGGUUUAUUGUUUACAUCUUAAGACUGCUCUACAAUUUCUUUGACUCGUGACAUUUGCCUUAAAGGACCUACAGCAAGCUGUUUUCCAGGAUCAGAAACUCAAGAGUCUUUUCUCAGCUUUUUCACUAAAGGUUGAUUGUUUCAAUUUGAAGCCUGAAAUGCCUCUUUAGCAAAAGCCUGUGAUAUAGGGAAAAGCCAUGUGAGGAGAGGAUAGUGUCAAUCCCAUAUGAAAACAAGAAGAAAAUUUGUGGCUACCAGUCUGCCCUUGUGGCCCUUCCAACCAGCUCUUCCAGGACUAACUCAGCCCAGCAUGGUUUUGAGGCAACCAUCAGUGCUUUUAUUUUUAAGUCUGUUGUGCCUGGGGCAUUCAUUUUAGGAGCUGAAGGACAACUAGUUGUUUGCUUGAUUUUUGUUUACUGCAUGGAUCAUAAAAACGCAGCCUGUGUUUAUUAUAUGCAGCAAAGAGAAAAUGUGUUACUAGAUUCAGAUAGUGUAUAUUGUCACUGAAUCUAACCUUAAGAAUGUACAUUCUUAUAUUUUACAUAAAGUAUGUGUUGUUUAAGAAAUGUGUAUAAAAUAGAUUUUGAAAGAAUGAUUAAGUAGAAACUGAUAGAAGUUAAAACCCUUAGUUUUAAAAGAUCUUUAUUGUUAGAGCGUAGGUUAUUCUCAUGGCUUCUAAAAAGGUGUGUGUAUUACACACAAAGUCAAAUGCUUGUAUUUAGAACAUAUUUUUUUCCCACAAAAAUAUUUUUUUCCACAGCACUAUUCAUCAUGAUGAAAUUUCAAUUACAUAGAUACAAGAAAAAAUAAGAACUGAGUCAUAGCAAAAGAAUUCUAUAGUCUGUAUUAGUGUGUUGCCCACUCUCUGUUAUGCGAAUUAGUAUAUGUUUUCCCCCCAUUGUCUGUGUUUAGUCCUUAUUCACUUCUGGGGGCAAAGACUACUUGCCUCUGUCUACCACCCUCUCUUCUACCCUCUCCUCUCCCGCCUCCUUACAUCAUGCCAGUAUAUUCUCAAAACUGCAGUCUGUGAGAAUAUUAAAAUAAUCACGGUUAAUGUUUCAGUAAUGACGUCGUUGUGCAGUUAGUUCAGUAUAUGUUGUUUUUUACAUUAAAGUGUGUGUGUAUCUUAGUGCAGUCAGAUAAAACAGCCAAAAGAACUUGGAACCUCACUAAAAAUCAGUAAUGUCAAUUAUCUGCUUUGUCCAACCUUAGUGGUACUUUUCUUGCAUCUUGGGAUUCUGCUGGCAGAUAAAUAAACUUUUACCCUCCAGAUGUUCUGUGUUAAAAAAAAA